rnacentral:rRNA from 1 species
CGUGUAGGUGGCUAAUUAAAGUCAGGUGUGAAAUCCUUCCGCUUAACGGGAGAAGUGCACUUGAAACUGCUUAGCUAGAGUACGGGAGAGGAAGGUGGAAUUCCUGGUGUAGAGGUGAAAUUCAUAGAUAUCGGGAAGAACACCGGUGGCGAAGGCGGCCUUCUGGCCCGAUACUGACGCUGAGACGCGAAAGCGUGGGGAGCAAACAGGAUUAGAUACCCUGGUAGUCCACGCCGUAAACGUUGGGCACUAGGUGUGGGAGGUUUUUAUUUCCUUCUUUGCCGAAGCUAACGCAUUAAGUGCCCCGCCUGGGGAGUACGGUCGCAAGGCUAAA